rnacentral:rRNA from 1 species
UACGGGGGGGGCAAGCGUUGUUCGGAAUUACUGGGCGUAAAGGGUCCGUAGGUGGCUUGCUAAGUCAGACGUGAAAUCCCUCGGCUUAACCGGGGAACUGCGUCUGAGACUGGCGAGCUUGAGUGCAGGAGAGGAACGCGGAAUUCCAGGUGUAGCGGUGAAAUGCGUAGAUAUCAUGAGGAAUACCAGAGGCGAAGGCGGCUACCUGGACAAUUGCUGACGCUCAGGCACGAAAGCGUGGGGAGCAAAAGGG